UGCUAAUUCGCUGACGAUCGGCGGACGGGUGAGUAAUGCCUGGGAAUAUGCCUUAGUGUGGGGGAUAACUAUUGGAAACGAUAGCUAAUACCGCAUAAUGUCUUCGGACCAAAGAGGGGGAUCUUCGGACCUCUCGCGCUAAGAUUAGCCCAGGUGAGAUUAGCUUGUUGGUGAGGUAAGAGCUCACCAAGGCGACGAUCUCUAGCUGGUCUGAGAGGAUGAUCAGCCACACUGGAACUGAGACACGGUCCAGACUCCUACGGGAGGCAGCAGUGGGGAAUAUUGCACAAUGGGCGAAAGCCUGAUGCAGCCAUGCCGCGUGUAUGAAGAAGGCCUUCGGGUUGUAAAGUACUUUCAGUCGUGAGGAAGGGUGUGUAGUUAAUAGCUGCACAUCUUGACGUUAGCGACAGAAGAAGCACCGGCUAACUCCGUGCCAGCAGCCGCGGUAAUACGGAGGGUGCGAGCGUUAAUCGGAAUUACUGGGCGUAAAGCGCAUGCAGGUGGUUCAUUAAGUCAGAUGUGAAAGCCCGGGGCUCAACCUCGGAACCGCAUUUGAAACUGGUGAACUAGAGUGCUGUAGAGGGGGGUAGAAUUUCAGGUGUAGCGGUGAAAUGCGUAGAGAUCUGAAGGAAUACCAGUGGCGAAGGCGG
rnacentral:rRNA from 1 species